GGGGAGGCAGCCAUCUUGGGCUUAUCUUAGCACCCUCUUCUAUACGUUACAUUAUUAAUAAGCUCGCUUAUAAUGUUGAUUCAUUGCCACAGCAAAUUCUGCUGCUUAUGCUAUCUGUAUUAUGUUAUGCUAUCUAUCGAUUUUCUGUGCUUUUCACUGCUCCUAUUAAUGUAAAGCUGCUUUGAAACAUUUACCAAUUGUGAAAAGCGCUAUAUAAAUAAAAUUGAAUUGAAAAAAAAAUGGUCUAUUUUAGUUGCCUCAAAAUAUCAACGCGCCAACAAUGCACCUGAACACACCUCGUUUUCAGACCAGAAUGCCCAUGGGCACAAAAGUGGGUGCAAAUGCAUUUGCUAUUUAAACAACGUGGCGCUAAACGUGAAAAUUAUCAUUGCGCAGGGUUGAAACUAGCAAAAGACACUUGUGUCGCCCAUUGCGCUGCAUUGCGCCGGGUGUAUGAUAGAGCCCAUUGACUCUAUUUGCAUUCAGAAAUUUUUCAAAUGAAUAUGAUAGCAGAUUAAUCUGCUGUUACCAUGUUUACAUCUGUUUUGAUAUCAUAGUUUACGACAGGUGCUAAACAUGCUUUAUGAUGUAAGUAAUGCAUUUUAAACAGGCUGUUGGCUAUGAGAAGAAAAUGUCUUUGCAUUUGCAUUUGGAAAACUGUGUGUGUCUGUGUGUGUGUGUGUGUGUGUGUGUGUGUGCAGUCUUGUGCAUUUCUUAUAAUUUCUUUCUUCUCUUUUUAUUUAUAAGCCGAGACUGGACUAGACUGACUCACUUGAGUUUCAAAGCGGUGUGUUUCAAAUAUUCUCUAUUUCUCCUUCAGAACCCCUUAAACUGUUGAUAAAUGGUUUGAAGACAGAAGUAUUGAAAGGAUGAAACUGGAGCUCUGUGUGUGCGCGCGUGUGUUGAUCUGUCAGCGCAGGCGUCAACGGGGAGCCCAAACAAGUGGCCAUCUCAUUCUCAGCCAUCUGCGCUCUGAAGAUGCCAUUCAGCAGCCACAAGCGUUCUUCAAACACUCUGUGAAGAACCAUUAGGAAAGUUUAUGGAGGAGAGUUCGGAUACACGAGUACUGUAGCAAACCACCCAGAAAUGUUCCUCGCUGCAAUUCGUGAGAUGAUAACCUCGGCACGGUGUCCACCGGCAUCUUUCCUGCCCCCCGGACCACGCGUCUCUCUCUCCAGCUGGAGGUGAUACCCGCAAACAUGUCUUUCUCUGACAGGCCUCUCACCAAGAUGAAUUCAUCGCCAGCACGGGUUGAAAUACUCUGGCCAAAACAAGUAAUUUGAUUGCCCCGACCGCAAAUUAAGUUAGUGUGAUUCAAUUUUCGAUUUGGAGCUCUCCAGCAACCAUACAUCACAGUAGACAUAUUUCAUUACCCAGCUAAAGCAGGUGGGAGGCGGGGCUAGGGGUGCAUGUCUCCACAAAAAGACAUCAUAGCAUUGUUAUGGCAUGCAUUCGGUUUCGACGGCGUCUCCUUCCCAGCUACAACAGGGCUAUUUAUAACACGCAAACGUAUAGGGCUGUCACGGCACGCGCUCGCGAGGGCAUCCGAUGUAUCCAGAUAAUUGUGAUUGUCUCGUCCGUUCGGUGAGAGAUGAUGUAAACAGCAUUAUCGCCACUGUUACGGAAGAGCGCGCGGUGCUUUGUGUUCGUGCUUGUCUGUUAAACAAACAGGGCAGUGUCGUCGCACGCCUUCAUCCAACUGCAAACAACAGGGGGAUGCAAAACACUUCUCAGUUA